rnacentral:rRNA from 1 species
AACGGGUGGAGCCUGCGGUUUUAAUUGGAUUCAACGCCGGAAAUCUCACCGGGGCGACAGCAAUAUGAAGGUCAGGCUGAAGACCUUACCCGAUUAGCUGAGAGGUGGUGCAUGGCCGUCGUCAGUUCGUACUGUGAAGCAUCCUGUUAAGUCAGGCAACGAGCGAGACCCACGUCCGCAGUUGCCAGCAUACCCUCCGGGGUGAUGGGUACACUGUGGAGACCGCCGCUGCUAAAGCGGAGGAAGGAGUGGGCAACGGUAGGUCAGUAUGCCCCGAAUCUCCCGGGCUACACGCGGGCUACAAUGGUUGGUACAAUGGGCAUCUACCCCGAAAGGGGAAGGAAAUCUCUUAAAGCCAAUCGUAGUUCGGAUUGAGGGCUGCAACUCGCCCUCAUGAAGCUGGAAUCCGUAGUAAUCGCGUUUCAACAGAACGCGGUGAAUACGUCCCUGCUCCUU